UACGAAGGGUGCAAGCGUUAAUCGGAAUUACUGGGCGUAAAGCGUGCGUAGGCGGUUUGUUAAGUCUGCUGUGAAAUCCCCGGGCUCAGCCUGGGAAUGGCAGUGGAUACUGGCAAGCUAGAGUGUGUCAGAGGAUGGUGGAAUUCCCGGUGUAGCGGUGAAAUGCGUAGAGAUCGGGAGGAACAUCAGUGGCGAAGGCGGCCAUCUGGGACAACACUGACGCUGAGGCACGAAAGCGUGGGGAGCAAACAGG
rnacentral:rRNA from 1 species